rnacentral:rRNA from 1 species
UACAGAGGGUGCGAGCGUUGUCCGGAAUCACUGGGCGUAAAGGGCGCGUAGGCGGUCCGCUAAGCGUGUGGUGAAAGCUCGGGGCUCAACCCCGAGUCGGCCAUGCGAACUGGUGGACUGGAGCCUGUCAGAGGCAAGCGGAAUUCCGGGUGUAGCGGUGGAAUGCGUAGAGAUCCGGAAGAACACCGGUGGCGAAGGCGGCUUGCUGGGACAGUGCUGACGCUGAGGCGCGACAGCGUGGGGAGCAAACAGG